GGAGGGAUGUCCGAGCGGUCAAAGGAAGCAGACUGUAAAUCUGCCGGCUAUGCCUACGCUGGUUCGAAUCCAGCUCCCUCCACCA
rnacentral:tRNA from 1 species